CAGCAGCCGCGGUAAUACGUAGGUGGCAAGCGUUGUCCGGAUUUAUUGGGCGUAAAGCGAGCGCAGGCGGUCAAUUAAGUCUGAUGUGAAAGCCCCCGGCUCAACCGGGGAGGGUCAUUGGAAACUGGUUGACUUGGGUGCAGAAGAGGAGAGUGGAAUUCCAUGUGUAGCGGUGAAAUGCGUAGAUAUAUGGAGGAACACCAGUGGCGAAGGCGACUCUCUGGUCUGUAACUGACGCUGAGGCUCGAAAGCGAGGGUAGCGAACAGGAUUAGAUACCCCCGUAGUCCCUGUCCUUAUACA
rnacentral:rRNA from 1 species